GUUUGGGUCUUGUCAUUGUACUGAUCCUGCAGCCUCUGCAAGAGCAGGGCUGCUGAUAUUUGGGAGAAAAAGACCUUAAGAAAUCAUAUGAAUUCGUAAUAAACAUUACAGCUGUUUGCUGCUCCAGACAUUAGAAAGCGGCAGAUCUUUCGAAGCAGAGGAAGACGACCCCUCUGGACCAAGGACAGGAUGCUAUAAAGGAGGGUCACGGGCCUACGAAAAAUCCUAUAAAGAAGGAAGAUCUUAAAAGUAGAAUCCCAUUCGCAGCAGAAGGUCCCAGCUGUUUCUGCAUCCUAUUUAAUUGGCGUCCUGAAAAUUUGACCACAAUUACAAUUUCCCCAAGGAUAGGUAUAUAAUUCAUUUUCAUGCAGUCCCAGAAUUAUUCUCUUAUUCUGCUUAAUCCCACGGGGGAGCUGCAGGGGAAACAGUGAUUGUAUCUGUGCGGAGAUAGAACGUGGUCACUGAUUUGAUACAGAGAGACAUUGAGAAAUUUUCUGUCGUACAAAACUCAAUUUCUUUUCAUUCAGCUUCUUUUUUUUCUAAAAAGGUAUCAUCCUUUUGGAUUGACGGAACCAUGAAGUAUCAAGGAAAUCUAUAACGGAUCAGGCCUCCGAUCCUAUAGGGAAUUUGGAAUACACUGCGAAUCCCAGCAUCUCAAAUGUGAUUUUUGGCUGAAACCUAUACGUUUUAUUUCUCUCCCUUAUGAGAUCAGGAUAUUCUGAAGAAUUUCCAAAAUAAAAUAAAAAGAGAGGAAAAUUCCAUCAUCUUGUCAUCUGGAUUUAGUGGAUGUAAAAAUAUAUUUGCUCACUACCAAUUCCUACAUGUUGAGCAAAUAAUUUUUUUUUUUUUAAUGUUUUUUUAUUGAAAUCUGAGCAAACGAUUACGAUUUUUUUUUUUCUCCCACCAAACCAUUGAUAAGAAGAAGGAAAUCCAGACCUGCAAAGUGAAAUUGUAUUGAGGCAAAUUGAUCCUUACACUUUUUUUUGUUGUUCCUUUGAAGCCUCGUAAAAAGACAUGCUCGUUAAUAAACUUACAAUUCGCACAAAGAAACAGAAAAACACAGCGAUAUCAUUCUUUUAAUUCUCUGCUAUUUUCUGAUAGUUGUGUCUGGUUACUCUUAAUUUCCUCUUCAAUUAGAGGAUUUGUGUCUUCAUGAAUAAAUUGUCUUUUCCUCUGGUUGGAUAUUUAUAGUACCCAUAAACAAACAACGGAUUAGAGAGACGCACUAAGAAAGCAGAAAAUUCAAGACAGAAAGUUGGAGGUAUAAGUCUCUACAAGCCAAUAAAUAUUCCGUGAAAUUAUAGAUGCUUUGGAGACCUUUGAAAUGUUUAUUUUUUUUGGUUUAUUACUGUAAUAAUCAGAGGUCUUCAGAUUGUUAUAUGCAUGUUGUUAUUUUUUUUUUUUUUAAUUCAGUAACAUUAGUGCUAUACAAUGGCUAAACAAGUAAUUCAUGCAAAAAUAAAAAUAAAUAGCAGGCAGAUUUGAAGAUACGUCUCCAAUAGGAAUGUGGGGUAACGAUACAUGUGCAGUGUAGUCACAGGGAAGAUGGAUGUAAAGGAAGAGGGAAGCCUUAUCUAUUUAUAUACCUCGCUUAUAUAAAUGAUGUGACAUUUGCAGGACAGGUGCUAUAGAGUAAGAAGGUGUAAUGAAGUUAAAAUAAACAGUGGGAUGAUUAGUUGCACAAUCUGAUCGUUAUACUGCAAUUAUACAUAUAUCUGACUUUUUCUGCAGAGCUGUUACAUGAAUGUGCAAUGAAUUCACAAGACCCAGUGUUAGAUAUCAGGAUACAACAUGAUAAAGAAUAGGAUAUAAGACCUUGUUUGCGGAUGUGCCACUGUGUCUUCCACAUUAAAUAUUCUAGGUAGGGGAGUUGUCCUAAUUGCAAAGUCAUGUUUUAGUGUAUUUGAUGGAAAUGCGUGCAUGCAGAGCUUAAGGAUAUGCCUAAUUGAGUAUGGGUGUAAGAAACUAUCAGGUUCUAAAAAUUAAGACACAUAACUAAUGUCCUAUAUGCACAUUUUUUUUUUUUUGUAUUCCGACUCACACGGAUGUGAUCCAGAGGAAUUGCAAGCUAAACCUUACACAAAUUGCUAAUGCUGGCUUAUGGAGCAUGUUAACUAUCCCAUUUGGUAUUAUUACAUGAUUUAAAAAAAGGCUGUACAUGCGGCUUGGUAUUCUGUACACAGGACAGUAUAUGCUGUAUACAUGAUAGCAUACCUAACAGGGCCAGAGUAGAGGUGUGCCAAUGUAGCAUGUGCAUCACAAUGACACAGUUUGCCCAGAAAGUGGACAUGCUAGCCUAGUACGCAUGUUCAUUGAGUGACAACCAGAUCCUGCAAGUCUGCCAAACAAAGCUACCCAUACAGUGAGUGCUGGGACAUGGCACAAAUACAGCCUAUAUGAAAUGGACUGGAUAGCCAGAAGCUGUUCCAUGCAAGACAGCUAGGGUCCCUGGAAAAGUCCAAUUUAAAUAAAAUUUAGAUUUGUAUUAACUGUGAUCCGAUGUAUAUAUUGCUUUCUCACUGGGCAAAGCUAUAACUGGGAAAAAAACAGGGACACUGAGGUUCUGCACCCCCAAGCUACAUACAUUUCUGAUAUCAGAUGGUGUGCAUGCAAACAGAAUCAGCACGUUAACCUUGUAAACUCACGCAGCUGCCGUAUCCCAGUGGGAAGUGGGUAGGAUGGGGUGUGGAGGCAGAGGCCAGACACAAUUCUCAACACUGACAAAGCAUGGAGAGAAACUGAGGGUGACAAGCAUAUUUACAUUCUGAUGACAUUUGGAGGAUUUAUUCUGCCUUCACCAAAAUACCUAUAGAUUCUUUGCUACUAUCCAUCGACUAUGCAUUUGACCUUAUAUUAUAAAAUUGCUAUAUUUUAAUUUUUUUCUGAAACCUGCUAGAAGCAUUGUAAAAGAAAGGGUACAUUGUAAUCUCUAAUACAUUAUAUCACCUUACCUCUCAUUUUCUCAAACUAUUAACUUACAGAAAUUCUAUAAAUGUAUAUAUAAUGAUUUCUUUUUUACCGCUUUCCUUGACUACAAGUUAUAAACAAAAUUGGUUCUACCCGUGCAUAUAUAUAUAAAAUAUUGUAAUAAUAUAUUUCCAAAACAAAUUAUCAAUAUUAAAGGGUUUCAUCAUAUUUCUGAUUCAUCUAUAUAUUCACUUAGCAGUAUUGAUUGUAUGUACCGGUAUAGUAAUUUUUAUUAUCUAUACAUUAUGUCACAAAACGAAUGUCAAUUCCUUCAUUUUAAAUUGGUCCAAUAGUGCUAGAAACACAAUUUAAUUGACAUUCUACUGCGCAUAUACAAAAAAAAAAAAAAUCACUUAACUGUUUAGUAGAUAUAUUCCUAAUGAAAACAUACACGCAUUUAAUUAUGCAUUUUUUAUUGGGAAUAUAUCUAAAAACAGCUUGCAAAAACUGCAGAGCUCUUGUCUGCAGCCUUUGCAAAGCCUUUUAGUCUAACCCCGCCCAGACUUUUUGUGGCUGUCCAAUCACAGCUAUCCCAAUUCAGCUCAAUCAGAAGGCUUUGUAAGGCAGGUGCUCUGGGCAAUUGCAGCCUCUUGAGUUUAAUUUAACUCCACUGAGCUAACCAAACCAGAAAGUAAAAUUACAUGUUUUCUGCUUGAAAGCCAGGGGAUGUCACAAGGUUAAUUGAUAAAAGUGCCAAUUUCUAUUGAAAUCAGCACUUUUGGUAAAAUGAAAAAAAAAGAGGACAACCUCUUCACAUGUAAAGCCCUUCGGCAAGCCGAAGUGCUACAGGGGUCUUUAGUGUCCCUUUAACAAGUAACAGAAUUGGAUAACCAGUGGGAGACAUUAGAUCACAAUUUAAGCAAUCAGAUGUAAACUGCAAUGAGCAUGAAUUACACAGUUUAUCACUACUACAUUUUGGUACUAUGCUGCAUUUAUUAUUAUAAAUAUCACCUAUCACUACCUGAAGAAUCACCCCACGACACAUUAUCUGAGAAUAACAAAUAUAACAUAGCAGACACAUCUGCUUGCACCAACAUGUGACGCAAACAACUCAGCACACAGAAAGAAUUCCAUAAAAUGAUGGCGAUAAUGAAACAUUAUAGGCAUUAAACACUGCUAGAGUAACAUAGAAUACUAUAUGAGUGAUAUAGGUAUGUGAUUGAUUAAAAUGUGUUAGCUAGCAUAUUUUCUUUCACUAUGAGGCCUGUGUGUUUGUUUUGAAUAUUUUUAUUGUUGUCAUGUCAUAAUCUCGCGCAUCAAACAUAUUUUCAUUAAAGCAGGUGGUCACUUACGCAGAGGCGCGGGUAUCGGUGUAUGAAAAUAAAUGCGGAUUGUCGCCCGCACAGAGGCGGGUAUAUUGGUUCAUUUAAGCGUGCAUAGAUUUUUCAGAUUUUUCUAUGUCUUGGCAUACAUAACUCUAAAUCAAGCAAACAUAAGACAGUAGUAGUCUGGCUCAGUGUUCCAGUGUUCAUGACAAUAUGAAAGGCAAUAUGUGGUAUGUGUCAGGCUAAUUACUCAGGCGCGGUUACCGAUGCAGAUUUUCAUAUCAUGAACAGAUAAUGUGUAUCGGUCUGCGUUUGAUAAAGGUAUGUUUAGUAACUAAAUCUUAGUCGAUGUGUGUGUGCUGUUGCAUUGAUUAGUCAAACUUAGGUAAGGCAGGUAACGUUAGCGAACCCAUGGGGAAGUGUAGUGAAGUGUUCAGACCUUGUGUGACAAUAGUAAAUCAUGUCUAUUAGUGCUAUAACUGCGUCUAGUGAGCUGCGGAAGAGGCAUGCAAUAUAACUGAAUUUGUAAAAAAUUUAUAGUGUGAACUUUAAAACUUUUAGCAAUAUAGGAGCCAGGCUGGCCUUAAAGGGAAACUCCAGUGCCAGGAAAACAAUCCGUUUUCCUGGCACUGCAGGUCCCCUCUCCCUCCCACCCCCCAAUCCCCGGUUGCUGAAGUGGUGAAAACCUCCUUCAGUAACUUACCUGAGGCAGCGACGAUGUUCCUCGUCGCUGCUUCCUCCUCCGCCGCCGCUCCUCCUCUGCAUUGCGUCAGCCAGUGGGCGAGACUGAUCUCGCCCACCGGCCGGGGAUACCUAAUGCGCCUGUGCGGCUCCCCAUAGGAAAGCAUUGAAAAUGGGGAAAUGAGCGACGCUGGAAGUCCUCACAUAGCCUUUCCUGUGCUAGAAACUAGUAAGUGGAGUUAACCCUGCAAUGUAAUUAUUGCAGUUUAUAAAAAACUGCAAUAACUACACUUGCAGGGUUAAGAAUAGUGGGAGUUUGCACCCAGACCACUCCAAUGGGUAGAAGUCGUCUGGGUGCCUGGAGUGUCCCUUUACUAUCAGUUCGGUGAGGGCCUCUCAUGACACAACUGCCGUGCAUUUCCCCGGCCGCCGAGUCUCCAUCUGUCUUCCACGGAACAACCCCCGCCCAUCACCAGAGUCCUCAAUGGCUUUGUGGGCACUCGGGAGCAGAGGCAGUCCAUACGACUCCCACACCUUGAGUACACGGGCCUCCCUCUCCCUGCACCUCCCCAUCACCAUCCAAGACUCGGGGGAGUGCGUGACCUAAUGUCUCUCCCAGUGCCGGCCACAUACUUGGUGCCGGCACGCACCCCCCCGGCCACCGGAGGGGCCGCACAGUCCCGCCCCACGGCAUCAGGGACUUGGCACCCCGGGGACCCCACAGACCCAGAGGCUUGGUCACUCACUUUUCCAGCGGGCAGGCGGCCACCGCGGGGAUCCAUCCAGCACUCUGCUGCACCUAAGUCCGCUCGGGCCGUCCAGAUCAGCCCCAGGCCUGUGUGUUUGAAUAACCUUUAUAAAAGAGCAGUUUUGUAUUGACCUUUUCGUUCUUCUGUAGUGCACAAAAUUAAAGUUCUGGAUUUUGCUGUUUGCAAACUAGGACAUAACAUCCACUGAGUUCUUCCGUCAGAACAUUCGUAGCGACAUUGUUCAAGGUUCUAACAGGUCCUCUUUAUUUGACAGCAAUGUGGUGGGCUCCCAAUUAAAAUGGAAUUGCUGAAUAAAUUGUGAAAUUCUUUUGGUGGAUAUGGUGUAUGUUACUUUGGCUACGGUGUGUGUAUUGAAUAGUUUACUUUGUGUUGGAUGUAUGAGGUCUGGAUUAAUUCUGGUUAGGUUUGUAUUUAGUAUUUAUCAUGUUUGGAUAAUUCCAUAAACCAAAAUUAUGAAAAUUUACUGCAGAACUGCAAAUUCAAGUCCAAAAUAGCUGAACUAGAUCUGAGAAUUAUUAUUUUUUUUUUUUUUUUUCCUAUUUAGCUAUUUAGACUUAAAAUAUGAAAGCCGGUAGUAAAUUCACAAUUUGGUGUAUAAUUCAGUUUUGGCUUAGAUGUGUAAGGUUUAGGUUACUAUCCCGAUAUGUGGAUCGUUCUAGGUUUGAUGAGUAUGGUGAAGCUUACUUAGGUUAAAUUGGUAAGAUGGUUAUUUGGGUUAAGUAAGUAUGUUGUGGGCUACUUUGGUUUCUAUGAGAAAAAUGUGGAUUAUUGUGGGUAAAGUGGGUAAUCAGUGGACGUUAGUGUAGGUAUGCUGUUUUUGGUUAGGUGGAUAAGUAGUUGGUAGUUAUUUUGUGUUAGGCAGAUAAUGUGAAGGUUACUGUGGGUUAGGUUGGAGCUGAUAAGGAUUAGAAGUGUAAAAUGUAGGUGGUCGAGACUGGAGAUUAAAUGCGUUCAUUACCAUUAUAUCGUAACUAGUGAUUCGGAGACUGCAGAAAUAGCGAAUGACUGGCUCAUAUUGCAGAAGAUGACUACAUAUUCUAAAGCAGGGGUAGGGCAAACUUUGGCACUCCACAUGUGGUGAACUACAUCUUCUCUGAUGCUUUCCCACCGUUAUGGCUGCAAGAGCAUUAUGGGAGGUGUAGUCCACAACAUCUGGAGUGCCAAAGGUUGUCUACCCUUUUUCUGGAAGACUAUGAAGAAGGAGAACAUAAUAUGUCAUUUUCUCUGUAUUUUUCUUUUUGCUGCUACAACAUUGAUCAGCAUAUUGAUUUGCAAUGACAUCUUUAUAGUUAGUUGCUCGCUAAACACUUAAUCACUGCAUUCGAUUUUUAAUUUGCAACUUCAAACUUUUCCAACAUUUCAAAUGAACAAAGAGGAACACUUUAAUUUUAGGGGUGUGAGUGGGGGUGUGGGCAAGGGGGUGACUUACUAAUAAAAUAGUAAAUCUGUAUUUUAAAAAAGGCUUAAAGAUUCCUGACACUUUAGUGUUAAAACCACUAUUUAUAAUCUGUAAGUAUAGUCAGUGUAUAUACCUGUGUAAAUCCAUGCAGUGUUAAAUAUAAUGUUAGAAGUAGUUAGUGUAAAGGGGGGGAGGAGGUAAUAGAGUUAAAUUAGAAUGUUUUUAGGUAUGUGGUUAUUGGGUUUAGGGUUAAAGUGGGAAUACAUUUAGUAUUGGGGUACAUGGUGUGUAUGAUUUUUAAGAUGAGGAUAACUGGGUGGAUUAAGGUAAAUUAUUUGAUUCAAGUUUAGGCUUUGAUUGCUCAGAUUUGGGACUAAAGAAAGAGUUUGUUUAGGUUUUGACAGGGGCCUAAUGGAAAAGGGGGAGGGUUAAGGGUACAGUCAUGUGGAGUUUGAAGGGUUAAUUUGCAAAGUACUCACCAGCCUAUAACUAACUCCUGCAAGUCACUUUCUGUGUGUGAGGCUGUUAGUGGGCAGGUGGAAAACAAUCCCUUCCAUUCCCUGUCCAGCCUCACACACAGACACUGGAGGAGCUGGGACAGCAUUGAGCUAUACAUCCCUCUAUAGCUGUUCCUGCAGUUUUGUUACUGGCAAAGGCUCACUGUACUUCUCUUCCCUCACUCCCACCUGAGCUCCAAGAAGGCACAUUAAAAGUGCUCUAAAUAGGCACCCCCUACAGGACAGGUGUCUGUGGGCAGGCGCCUACUCUGCUUUAAGGGAUUCUAUGGUGCCAGGAAAACAAAGCCAUUUUCCUGGCACUAUUGGUUUGUAAGGUGCCUCCCUCCCGCUGCGCUGAAGAUGUUAAAACCUCUUCAGUCACUUACCUGAAACCAGUGCCGAUGUCCAUUGGCGCUGGGUCAGGCUCGUCCCCAUGCCGGCUGGAAAUGGCAGUGUUCGUAUUAGGAUUUCCACUCAGGAAAGCAUUAAUCAAUCCUUUCCUGUGGGGACAAAUCUGACGUUGGAGGUCCUCAUGCAGAGCAUGAUGGCGUCCAGCUUCAGAUAUCAGACCUAAGGUCUGUUUCAAUCCAGGAAGCCCUCUAGUGGUUAUCUGGUAGACAGCCACUGAGGACAGACAGAGCUGCAAUCUAAACAUUACAGUUUCUAUGGGAUGUUAUGUCUAACAUUUCAGCACUAAGUGCAAAAGGGACACUGCACCCAGACCACUUCAAUGAGCUGAAGUGGUCUGGGUGCCUACAGUGUUCCUUUAACCUGAAUGCUGUGAAUUCCCAUUUUCAGCUGUAUUACUUGUGACCCAAACAUGUAAUGUUAAUGACAAUAUUACACAACAGUAUAUAUGAAGACAAAAUCAGGAUAAAUGUAAUAACAGACUAGAUAAGAAAAAUAUGAAAUAUACGUAAGUGUAGUGAGGAACAAACUGAUAUCCAGGGAUUAAAGAAUGAAUGAACUGAGUAAACUAGUAAAAGGUCAAAGGAAUAAAGAAUAAAGAAUAACCAGGGAUUAGCUAGGUCUGUGCCAAUAGAACAGAAGACAUACAACACACUAUUUACUGUUUACCAUAGGAAACCAAGAAGGGGUACUGAUCUGUCCAUGAUUUGGGAGUUUUUUUUCUGCUGUCCGUCAUAUCUAUGGUAUCAGAGUCAAUGCCGGAGAUUUAAAUGACAAGUAGGAGAAAGACCUAAACGAUACACUUGCUAGCAAAUCUGCUAAUACAAUGUAUAGAUUACAUUUAAAGGGACACUAUACUCACCAGAACAACUAAAGUAAACAUUGUCUUUUCAGAGAAAAUGCUGGCUCUGCUCCUGAUCUGUCUCCUUGACAGUCUCAGCCAAUCGUAUGGGAAAGCAUUGUGAUUGGCUCAGAGAAUCACUUCUUAUUAUGUCAGCCAAGCAGGCAGAUCAGGGGAGAGGCAGCAGCUGCAGACUUGAAUACAAGUAAGAUUUUACUAUAUUUAGGGAGGCCAAAGGGGGCUAGAUGGUGGUUUUAACACUAUAGGGUCAGGAAUACGUUUGUGUUCCUGAUCCUAUAGUGUCCUGACAUAUGUAGUUUGGGGCAUGCAGAUACCCUUUAAUGGUGAUGUGCACUGCUAUAAUAUAUACAGAAGUAAGGUUAUACUGAAACAGGAAGCAGUUGGACACAUGCAUGAAAACACUUUUGCCAGAAAUUGAAUAAUGUAUAAUAUUUCUAGAACAGUUUGUUUAUUUAAUUUUAAUAUUCUUUAAUAGUCUUUUAAUUUUUUAUAGUGGUCUUUAUAAUUUUUUAAUGUUUUUAAAAAUAAAACUGAUGCUGACAAAUUAACACCGAUAUUAUAUUUACUGCAGGAUCACCAAAUGCCAUGGCCAGUCCUGGUUUUACAAGUACUCACUUGGGUCUGAAUUACUAGGCCGACUCUGUG